rnacentral:rRNA from 1 species
GCCAAAUAGCUAGCCUGAACACAACCGUAACCCCAAAAUAUAUAUAAAGAACCUAUAAUUUCACACUAAAACAUUCUACCCCCCUAGUAUAGGUGAUAGAAAAG